rnacentral:rRNA from 1 species
CAAUAAGCGGAGGAAAAGAAACUAACAAGGAUUCCCCUAGUAACUGCGAGUGAAGCGGGAAAAGCUCAAAUUUAAAAUCUGGCGGUCUUUGGCUGUCCGAGUUGUAAUCUAGAGAAGUGUUAUCCGUGCUGGACCGUGUACAAGUCUCCUGGAAUGGAGCGUCGUAGAGGGUGAGAAUCCCGUCUUUGACACGGACUGCCAGGACUUUGUGAUGCGCUCUCAAAGAGUCGAGUUGUUUGGGAAUGCAGCUCAAAAUGGGUGGUAAAUUCCAUCUAAAGCUAAAUAUUGGCGAGAGACCGAUAGCGAACAAGUACCGUGAGGGAAAGAUGAAAAGAACUUUGGAAAGAGAGUUAAACAGUACGUGAAAUUGCUGAAAGGGAAACGCUUGAAGUCAGUCGCGUUGUCCAGGGAUCAACCUUGCUUUUGCUUGGUGCACUUUCUGGUUGACGGGUCAGCAUCAAUUUUGACUAUUGGAAAAAGAUUAGGGGAAUGUGGCAUCUUCGGAUGUGUUAUAGCCCUUGGUUGCAUACAAUAAUUGGGAUUGAGGAACUCAGCACGCCGCAAGGCCGGGUUUUUAACCACGUACGUGCUUAGGAUGCUGGCAUAAUGGCUUUAAUCGACCCGUCUUGAAACACGGACCAAGGAGUCUAACAUGCCUGCGAGUGUUUGGGUGGAAAACUCGAGCGCGUAAUGAAAGUGAAAGUUGAGAUCCCUGUCGUGGGGAGCAUCGACGCCCGGACCAGACCUUUUGUGACGGUUCCGCGGUAGAGCAUGUAUGUUGGGACCCGAAAGAUGGUGAACUAUGCCUGAAUAGGGUGAAGCCAGAGGAAACUCUGGUGGAGGCUCGUAGCGAUUCUGACGUGCAAAUCGAUCGUCAAAUUUGGGUAUAGGGGCGAAAGACUAAUCGAACCAUCUAGUAGCUGGUCU